UAUUCCUAAUGUAAGUUUGAAAUUUGAAUAAUUUCCUUUAAUUCAUGAAUCGGGAUUGGAUUGGAAUUGUAUGGCAGUGAUGUAUGUCUCUGGUUUCUUUUUAUUUAAGUUUAGGUCAUGGUGAUUAUUAAUUUCCAUUUUGGCAUGAGAAGGGUGCCUGAGCUAAAUUUAUACAAGUUUAUGUGAGAGAACAGUGAUAUCAAAAGCUGAGUAUUCUUAUAUGGAUGUGAUUUGCUAAAGACUAUCUAUCAACAAAUAAAUUUAAUAUGUUUGCAUUUACUUCCUGUUGUGUUUCUACUCAUGACAUUAUUGCUUGUUUUGUGGAAUGAUUUAUAUAUUUCUAAAAUGGAUCAAAGAACUUGGUGUUUUCGCCAUUCAUUUGCACAAGCUUUAUCACUAUUGAUCUGAUUCAAGAAUAAUUUUCAUGUAUUUCACCUUUGCUUCCUCUUCUUGUAAGCAAACACGCAUAUAAGCUAUAAUCUGUAUUCUUUUUGAAUCUUAUCACUCCUUUACAGAAAAUACUCUCAUGAUGUCAAUUUCCAGCACCUGGAGCUGUGAUAAUGCUUUGUUUUACCUUCCUAUAAAUGCAAAACACCAUUAAUUUCUGCUUCCUCGCGGAUUUCUACUUAUUUGUCUUCAGUCAUGAGUUUCCUUUCCAAGUUCAUCCAUUGGCUCAUAUGCAUACAACAUUUAUUUUGCCAGCAAUGUGGAUUCUAAAAGGAUGAAUUUGUCUCUCACUAUUCAAUUUUCUAUAUUAUGAACGGUUUUGUACAAAUAAUGUUAUGGUUUCAGUUCAAUAGGCUUGCUAUUGUUUUUCCUGCAACUACAUCAUUUGGUUGGUAAGAAAAUUAUAGUCCAGUAAUUGUGAUUAGUGCAUCAUAGAGGACUCAAAUCUGCUUUUUUAUUUUAUUUUUCCUUAGGUGCUUGACAAACAAGAUCGUGAAACUGUGCAUAUCCUAGCCAAGUGGCACAAGGCUUAGCAACUGCAACGGUUCUUGCCACUGCAGCAGUGAAUGGAUUGGCAUUAAUCAUGUAUUUUAUUUUAUGUGAGAGCAAAGAUUUUCUUAGGUUCAUGCAUCGGAUAGGUGCAGCUGCAGGAAGGAGUUGGAAUGUUAUAACAUAGCAUUGGCCAUUGUUUGUCUGGGCUAUGUGAAACUGAGUUGUGAAUUAGUCAGCAUGGCUCCUGGGACUGGGAGUAGCAUUUGCAAGGAAGUCCUUGAAUCCCAAGCUGCAGAUCAUGAGUUAUCCAUUGCAAGUGAUGAAUUGGAAAAAUUCCGGCUAACUAAGCCUACUAUUGCUCCUAGCAUUAAAGGAGGUGUAUCUUCCACUACUGGUGUGAAUGAGCUUCGUAAGUGCCCUGUCUGUACAAACUCAAUGUACCCUUCCAUACACCAGUCUACGGGGCCUUUGGCAACCUGCAAGGGAGUGGUAGUUUCUCUGCAUUUGGUGGUAGCAAUGCCAUGGGAAUUGAAAAACCAUCCAACCUUUUCACGCAGAUGAGAAGAUAGAAAGUCUCCAACAAGAUUUGCAGUUGAAAACCAGGUUUACCCAUCCUGUUUGGUGGACGUUGAAAGGGACCACUUAGCCUUAAGCAAGCAAUAUCCAAAAUUAUCAAUAUCCCCGGAAUUCACCGAGGUAUGACUUUUCUUAUUUCAGUUGCUGCUCGCAAGUCACAGCUAUCUUACUUGUCUUGAAUUUAGGCUGAAGUGUGUACUCAGUAUGUAUUGUAAUGGAUCUUCUCAAUUUUCCUUAGAUUGUCCUGCACUGGCCAAAGGGAAACCUGAAUCUGUCAUUGCACACUCCUAUCAGGUAUCUUCUCUUUUUUGAAAAAAUGCCUUGUUUCAAGAUUACCAUGGACUCAAAACUUUCAGACAGGACCUGACUCUCAUAUGAAUAGUUCAGUGCAUUCCCAACCAACAUCAAGGAGCUCAAUGCUCAUCAAGAAACUAGGAUGUAUUUCUUGUGGUUAUUUCAUUUUAUUGUGCUAACUUAAAUUUGAAUUAUCCAUAGUUUUCUGCAUCAAUUUUGGUCGAUUUGUAAUUAUCGAUGUCAUUUUCUGUGGCCUAGAUUAUCAUAUUUCAAUUGGAGUAGAGUUUUUGGUGGAUCUGAUGCACGCUUACCCAUCGAUGUCCCACCACUUCCACCUUCAUCUGAUGCCCCACCACCUCCGCCUUCAUCUUUGUGAUUUUUUGUAUUUUAUUUAUGAUUUAUUUUAUAUACGAAUGUUAAACUUAUAUGUAUUUGUGCGUGGAUGAAUGUGAUGUGGAUAAGAUUAUUUGUGUA